UUGCUAUAAAAAUCAUAGACAAAACGCAGAUGAACCCUUCCAGUUUGCAAAAGUUGUUCAGGGAAGUAAGAAUAAUGAAAAUUCUUGACCAUCCUAACAUUGUGAAGCUAUUCGAAGUCAUUGAAACAGAUAAAACACUUUACCUUGUGAUGGAAUAUGCCAGUGGCGGUGAAGUUUUUGAUUACUUGGUUGCACAUGGUCGGAUGAAAGAAAAGGAAGCCAGAGCCAAAUUUAGACAAAUCGUGUCUGCUGUACAGUAUUGUCACCAGAAGCACAUUGUACAUAGAGAUUUAAAAGCUGAAAAUUUAUUGCUUGAUGGUGAUAUGCAUAUAAAGAUUGCCGAUUUUGGCUUUAGUAAUGAAUUUGUUCCUGGGAGUAAAUUAGAUACUUUUUGUGGUAGUCCCCCUUAUGCUGCUCCAGAGCUCUUUCAAGGUAAAAAAUAUGAUGGUCCAGAAGUGGAUGUGUGGAGCUUAGGUGUGAUUUUAUACACAUUAGUUAGUGGAUCAUUACCGUUUGAUGGUCAAAAUUUAAAAGAACUUCGAGAAAGAGUUUUACGAGGAAAAUAUAGAAUACCUUUCUACAUGUCAACAGACUGUGAAAACUUACUAAAGAAAUUUCUUGUUUUAAAUCCUACAAAGAGGGCUAAUUUAGAGACAAUAAUGAAGGACAAGUGGAUGAAUAUAGGUUUCGAGGAUGAUGAACUUAAGCCUUAUGUAGAACCACCACCUGACAUAAAUGAUCCACUUCGAAUAGCUAAAUCUUUAAGGAAUGAGGUGUCCUCAACAGAGACAGGUUCCAACAUAAAUGGCCUACAUCGCUAUCAAGAUAUUAUGGCUAGUAUGGGUUAUACCUUGAAAGAUGUUGAAAACUCCUUGAGUCAGCAGAAAUAUGAUGAUAUCAUGGCAACAUAUUUGCUUUUGGGACGAAGAACGUCUGAUUUGGAAGGCAGUGACCGAUCUGGUAGCAACCAAUCUCUUCGGCACUUGCCGAUGACUACGAACCGACCAACAACUGAAACUAAUGCUAAUACAAAUCAGUCACCCAAUCGUGUUACAAGGAGUCUUUCUGCCACUAAUCAGAAACCUCCUCGGCGUUACAGCCAUGGAGGGCCUGCUGGACCUGGUAGUGCUACAUCAUCUUCACAGUCGCAGUCUUCGAGUUCUCAUGCAACAAGAAGGCAAAACACAAUAGAUACUAAUACUAAUACUACUACAAAAGAAAGUACAUUGAGUUCUCGAAUGAAGACCCCUUCUGGUGGUAACAUGCCUCUGGAGUCUCCCAAGAUUAGUGCAAGUCCUGUUAGAAUGUCGGUACCAAAAAAACCAAGUGGACCUUCUACAACACCAAAGAACAAUGUUGUAAGUGGUUCUUCUCUAACACGAAGAAGUACUUUUGGACCUGGAGAUAAUAAGACAAGUAUAGAAAAAAAUAACAGAACAACUAAUGGUCAAGACUACCGGAGCCAUAUACCAAAUUCUACUUCCAAUCCAUCUUCAGAGCCCCCAUCAGCAAGGCCUAAGGGCCAUGUAAAGUCAGCCAGCACAUGUCAACCAUCACGAGUCCCAGAUUUGCCACCUAUUAGUUCAGACACAUCUGAUACCUAUAGGCCAACACCGGCUCAAGGGAAAACUUCAAUUCCCUUAUCACCUGCUGCAAACAAGCCUUUAUUCCGAGGCACAGCAGGCCGAAAUACAUUCCACGGAGGCCACAUUAGGGACCGACGGCAGUUCAACCAAUAUAACGGCCCUGGUGUUCCUGGGCAUACUCAGGAUACCACAACAGCCGGACAAGUAGCUCGAGUGUCUUUCCUGAACAAACUAACUUCAAAAUUUAGUCGAAGGAGUAAAUUGAGUCUCCGCCAAUUGGAACUGAAGUAAUAUGAUGACGUCGUCUCUCGUAAGAUGGUUGCUGUCUCUUUGUGACAGCUUUUUUAAUUUCUUCCAGUGGUGACCCCAGAAGGGCAUACACAGAUACCCCCGGGUCAGUGAAUGAUAAAGAAGAUCAAGUUAAGCCGCGUUCGUUGAGGUUCACAUGGAGUAU
rnacentral:misc_RNA from 1 species